UACGUAGGCGGGAAAUUAAGUCAGUAGUGAAAUCCCACAGCUUAACUGCGGAACUGUUAUUGAUACUGGUUUUCUUGAAUAUAGUUGAGGUAGGCGGAAUGUGUAAUGUAGCGGUGAAAUGCUUAGAUAUUACACAGAACACCGAUUGCGAAGGCAGCUUACUAAGCUAUGAUUGACGCUGAGGUACGAAAGCGUGGGGAGCGAACAGGAUUAGAUACCCUGGUAGUCC
rnacentral:rRNA from 1 species